GAAAGCCAUCUGUUUCCAAUUUAAGAUACUGUUGUAACUAUUGAAAACUUUAACUUGUCAAUUAUUCUCAUAUGAGAAGGAUCUCGUAACCCAUUGGGCCACCCUUCCCUGUUUUGUUGACAUUCACAGUUGAGUUGGACAUACUUGCUAGACAGUUUGAUUAUUAUAUAAUUUAUUGGAAAAUGGACCAUAGCUUUUUAUAGCUUUAUUUUUCAGAAUCAUUCUGCAUCAUGGCUGAUGGUGUGCUUUGGACUACCCCUUUGAUAUACCAUUUCCUAUGCAGAGAAAAUUGCUUAGUUGGGCGAUCUCUUUUCUGCCUUGGGUUGCUUAUUCGUUAUGGAAACUCUUUGCUGAGUACAUCCUGCUCCAGUAACAAAAAUAUAGAUGUCAAGAACAGCCUCAACUUGUUUAAAAAGUAUCUUCAUGCGGAGGAUUUUGUUCUAAAGGUCAGAUCGUUGCAGGUAUGCCCCUUCAGCAUUUGCCCAUAAAUGUGCGUGUGCACCCCCCACCACGAAAGAGGAAGGGAGGGAUUUUAGCUCGUCUUAUUUAACUUAUGCAAGCGUUGCAAAAUAUCUACGAGUAUCUUCUUGAUGCAGAAAGUCAAAUGGCAACUGAUAAUACCAGUAAUAAUGCGGUUAAUUAUUCCGUAGAUGGUGGCCAUAGUGUUCCUGUUGCUGCAGGUGCCGGUGAUACUAAUAUCUGUGGGGGAAUAGUUCAAUUGUAUUCGGAUAACAUCUUAGGAAGAUGUUUAGAUGUGAAUGAACAAGUUCGCCAAUCUGCUGUGAAGUUAAAAUCUUGUCUGUGUUCUUAUCCUUGGUUGUUUGUCUAAAUUUUUUUGAUUCAAAUAAGUGAACUGGUCUGCCCAAACAAGCCAAUCAGUAAGACUAAUAUUUUUUUAUUUUUUAUUGUGGAUUUAUUGGUCAUUUGGUUAGUUCGAGAACAUGAAAACAAGGACGUUAAAAGUCUAAAAGCUAGAGGCAUUGAUUUUUCCAUUAUUUUAAUUAUAAGUUAUGGGCUAGAAUUCAUAAAUGGAGUUUCUCAUGUUGUGAAAUUCAUGAUCUUACUAUUAUCAGUAUCCACUGUAACGUGACUUCCAAACUUGAAAAUUCUGAAUAUAAACUCAAUGAACUGGAUUUGAUAGCUGAAACUAGGCCUCUGGACGAGGAGGAGUUGAAGUUGAAAAGGGAGACCAGAAAUGAUAUGUGGAGGCUGAGCAGAAAGUUGCAAUGGGAAUGGCUUCAAAAAUCAAGGCUUGACUGGAAUCUGAAAGGAGAUAGAAAUACAAGAUACUUCCAUGUUUCGGCUACCAACAGACAAAAUAGGAAUUCACUCAACUCUAUCACAAAAGGAAACUUAGUUCUUGACGAGCCAAGUCAAGUUAAGAAUGAAGUUUGGGCCUAUUUUUCAAAGCAUUUCACAGAAGAAUGGUUGAUCAGACCAGUGCUUGUUGGGGACUUUAAAAGUGUAAGGCACAGUGACUCAUUCCAUGGGCUCGAAGAGGAAUUUAUUGAAGUGGAGGUUUGGGCAGCGGUUAGAGAUUGCAAUGGGAAUAAAGCUCCAGGGCCAGAUGGCUUCAACCUGAUGUUUUUCCAAAAAUAUUGGAAGGUGAUUAAGGAGGAAGUGGUUAAUUUUAUGAAGGAAUUUCAUACCCGUGGCAAACUAAUCUGAGGUAUGAAUAGUACUUUCACCUCUCUCACUCCUAAGA